UUAGGUGGGGUUUUUUAAUAGAUUUGUUGGUGAGGGAUAUGGGUACCCAUGGAUCCCCACCAACCAGGAUACUGGCCGGUCCUGACAAGUUGGCCAAGGACAUGAAGAUACUUAGAGUACACGUCAAGGAGGUCGAGUGAUUCAAAUCAGCUCGGAUAUUGCGGGAUACGUAUUGUAAUCCAACUCAGAUCACCUUCCAUGUAACAACUGAGUAGAUUAGAUUCAAACCGACUUGUAACCCUAGGUCGUCAGCCUAUAUAAGGCGGCCAAGGGUGCCUCCCAAGGGCAAUCCAAUCCAAUCUGUAAACCACGCACUAAUGCAAAGGAAUAUAAACCACCAGCAUACAGGACGUAGGGUAUUACUCUUCGGAGGCCUGAACCUGUCUAAACCCUUGUGUUCUCGUGAUCACCUUCGAGUUCUUUAUCUCGCGAUCGUCUCUGCCUACAAAUCCAUAGGCAACUCCUCCAGGUGAGGCUCGGCUCUAGCUCCCUCACUAGAUACCUGCUCGACCUCGGAGUUGACCACAGCAGCGUCCGCAGCCUCGGAGCCGACUACGCCUUGUUGCGGCAUCGAAUUUGGUACAACUUCUUCGGUGUGACCAUCUGUUCAAUAGUGUGGCUGCUCGUCCCCUCGGUUUGGGUCAAGCAACCAGUGAGCUGCGCACCACAUUCAUCAUCUAGCACGGCAUUCCUGCAUUGUCAAUGCAAGAAGCAAUUUAUACAGGAAAGGCAGCAAAGCAACCACGACAGGUAGCAAAGCAACCACAAGACAAACAGUAUAACCAUAUUGCACUUACAUGGUGCUCUUCUUCACCCAGAACUUGGGGCCUUGAAACAUCUCCACUAGACCCCCGCGGAUCUUUGCCUUCAACAUCUACCUGACCCGCUCCAUGUCGGCCACGCUCUUCUCAAGGAGCUCUGAAUUUUUCUUCUCGGUUGUCGGGCUUGCUUGACUCCUCGUAUGCUUUGCUGGCCGACUUGGCUGCUAAAGCUGUGCUCGGGGCAGUCUUCUCCUUCUUGCUAGCCAUCUUUCUCUUGCCGCUCGGCUUCUAAAUUUGGGAGGACGCAAGCUUCUUCACGACCUGCCGUGUCCGGCAUCCCACUGGUUCGAAGCCCUCGGCCUGGCCGACCUCUUCCGGCACACUCUCAUCAGACCCGAUGGAGUAGUCUGAUUCCCAAUCAAGGCUGGCAGGCAGCUGGUCAAACUCGUCGAUCGGGCGAAACUUGGGUCGUUGUUGCUCAGCACCUCUAGGAAGUGGUGCCGGGCAAAAGAAUUCAAAUUUGCCAUUCUGGUUACUCAACACGAAUAGUCAGAGACAACACAACAGCAAAAUAGAAAUGCCAAAUGAAUGUGGUUAAAAUCAUACCAGGUUGGCUGGCCUCUUGAGGGAAUAUGCUUUGUGGCGGCUAUUGUUCCUUAUAAGGCCACCAAAAAACUCGAACACCCGGUUGGCAACUUCUUCCUUGGUCACCUUUCGCUGGACCUCCCAGGUCGGAUCAAGUGGCCCUGUAUACUCAUACACCGGAUGGACCCUACUCUUGAUCAGCUGUGUCAAUCUCUAAUAGAAAUUGAUGCUUACAGCCCAGGCUAUGAGUCCAUGCACCUUCAAGUUGGCGAUCUUCUCUAGCAGCUGCUUCACUUGCACCUGCUCCUUCGAGGUUGGCUGGUUCGACCACUCGGGCAUGGUAACUGGCCUGUAUCCAGUACGCGGCGGGAGCUCAGGCUGCUGAUUGGCGACUGUGAACCACUCCUUGUGCUAGGCCUUGUUGGAUUCCUUCAACUAGAGGUCGAAGUACUCAUGGACUCUCUUAGGCUGCAAAGAAAAUCCACAUCCCCAAAUCACUCUGAGCUUCCCCUUGGUUGACACAACUUUCAACUGGUAGAAGUACUUCCACGGAUCAAAAUGCGGAGGAAUGCCUUAGUAUGCCUCACACAGAUGGAUGAAGAUAGUGAUAUCCAAAAUCAAGUUGGGGUUGAGAUGUACCAGUCCGAAUCUUGUAGUAAUGCAGCAACCUGCAAAAAGAAGUCCCUGCAUGGGAUCUCGAAUCCGCGCUCAAAAAUGAUACGAAGACCAUUAUCUUCAUCUUGUCCUUAGUAGGGAAAUCCUGCCCAGCGGUCACCUUAUAGUCGAGUAGCCCCUUGGGCUCGAGGAGACCCCAGUUGACAAGCGCCUGGAUGCGCUCCUCCGUCAUCAUGAAUUUCAUCCAAAUUGAGGAUGGAUCCAGUAUCUGUGCCUAGGCCAUUUCCUCAGUUUCUACUCCUUGCGAUUUGGAUCUAAUAACCGCUAGGGUUUUGAUGCGCAUACGGUGGUGCGGUGGCCUAGGCGGUGACGAAGUGUGCGUGAGCAAAUUGAAAAUCACGGCGGCGCAGCCUAGGGUUCACGAGCAUGGUGGCGAUGUGCUCUGUGGAGUGUGGCGGAUGGAAAUGAAAACGGAUCUGAGCCCUUGGGCUUUUGAAGGACGUGAAAAUGUAACCCUAGUGACAGAAUCUGCGUGUUUUCCAUUAUUAUGGCGUACGCGUCGGACGGAAUCCAUGGGUUUUCCAUUAUGUUUUCAAAGACGUGCCUCUGUGGCUCCAUCGCUCCUCGAUCUCAGGGGCUAGACACCUAUUUCAAGUCGGUGUGCCUCCUACCUCCGCCAGUCCUUGUCCUCGGGGGCUGGGCGCCUCUUUCAGGUCGGCGUGCCUCCGUGGCUCCGCCAGUCCUCGUCCUCGGGGGCUGGGUGCCUCUUCUAGAUUGGCAUGCCUCUGUGGCUCCGCUAUUUCUCAUCCUCAGGGGUUGGCCACCUACUUCUGGUCAACGUGCCUUCGUUGCUCCACCAGUACUUGUCCUCGGGGGCUGGGCGCCUACUUCUGGUCGAUGUGCCUUUGUUGCUUCACCAAUCCUCAUCCUCGGGGGCUGGGUGCCUGCUUCUGGUCGGCGUGCCUCCGUUGCUUCGCCUAUCCUUAUGUUCAGGCACUAGGAUCUGCUUCUGCGAUCUAUUUUUUCUUUUAUGCCCAUUGGACCGAUUAUACUAAUCGCUUCAAUACUCGCGGGCUACUCCUAUGGAGUGCGUCUUGCAACACCCUUCAUGUCCUUCUCUUUGACCUACUAGAUGCCCAACAUCCAUCAACUCGGCACUCGACUUCGCUCUGCACAUAUGGCUCUGCAUUCACUCGGAUUUACUUCUUUUUUGAGCACUACGCAGCCUCUCUGUCACUGUGAUGCCAUCGCAGCCAACUUCAUUUCAAGCUUGGUUGCGGAGGCUUGAGGGAUAUGGGUACCCCAUGGGUCCCCACCAACCAGGAUACUGGCCGAUCUUGAUAAGUGGGCCCACCCAACCAGAACGUGCGGACCAAGGACAUGGAGAUACUUGGAGUACACGUCAAGGAGGCCAGGCGAUUCAAAUCAGCCUGGAUAUUGCGGGAUACGUAUUGUAAUCCAACUCAGAUCACCUUCCAUGUAACAACUGAGUAGAUUAGAUUCAAACCGACUUGUAACCCUAGGUCGUCA
rnacentral:lncRNA from 1 species